rnacentral:rRNA from 1 species
UACGAAGGGGGCUAGCGUUGCUCGGAAUCACUGGGCGUAAAGGGCGCGUAGGCGGCCAUUCAAGUCGGAGGUGAAAGCCCAGGGCUCAACCCUGGAAUUGCCUUCGAUACUGUUUGGCUAGAGACCGGAAGAGGUAAGUGGAACUGCGAGUGUAGAGGUGAAAUUCGUAGAUAUUCGCAAGAACACCAGUGGCGAAGGCGGCUUACUGGUCCGGUUCUGACGCUGAGGCGCGAAAGCGUGGGGAGCAAACAGGG